AGCAGUCGCCGCGGUAAUACGUAGGGUGCAAGCGUUAAUCGGAAUUACUGGGCGUAAAGCGUGCGUAGGCGGUGAGUUAAGUCCGCUGUGAAAUCCCCGGGCUCAACCUGGGAAUGGCAGUGGAUACUGGCUCGCUAGAGUGUGUCAGAGGAUGGUGGAAUUCCCGGUGUAGCGGUGAAAUGCGUAGAGAUCGGGAGGAACAUCAGUGGCGAAGGCGGCCAUCUGGGACAACACUGACGCUGAGGCACGAAAGCGUGGGGAGCAAACAGGAUUAGAUACCCGCGUAGUCCCUGUCUCUUAUAC
rnacentral:rRNA from 1 species